GGUCCACUCCAGAGUUCUCCAGCUUGUCUUUCAGGACUGUGGGAAGAAUAGUGUUGAAGGCACUGGAGAAAUCAAAGAACAUGAUUCUCACAGUGCUCCCAGCGGUCUCCAGGUGAGAGAAGGAACGAUGCACGAGGUGAAUGGCGGCAUCAUCCGCUCCAAUGCCAGGCUGGUAGGCAAACUGAAGUGGGUCCAAUGAUGAGCUCACCAGGCGCCGAAGCUGAGUCAGGACCAGCUGCUCCAGGGUCUUCAUCAGACUGAGAAGAUGUGGCAGUGAAGAUGAUGCCUUCAGAUAAUAUCUUGGUUUUCUCUACAAGAAAGCUGACUAGGAGUCUAGCCAGGUGCCUGAGCAAGGACCAGGGUUUUUGACACAAUCUUAGCAGUUUCUAAUGACUUUGGGCUUUAAAUGUCAAUAUGGACGGCAUUGAUGAAAGCUACAUCUGGGAGCGCCGCAUUGCCCAUGGCAUUAGGUAUCAAAGAGGAGCAGUCCCCUUCCCAGAAUCGGUUGAUAUUGGUCUGGAGUUCAAUGCGGCACUUGAAAGGAAGGAGAAGCUGGAUCAGAGCCUGCUGACGAAUAGUGUUAUGCUGGAAAUUUGUCAGUUUGCCAAAACGGUGACCAGGUCUGAGAAGUAUUUCUUGUUCGAAAUGCUGGAGUUCAACUUCGACCUUGGCUUUGACAUAAACAAUGACAGUCUGUGCUACAUCUAUGCAGUUCGUGUCCACAACAGAAUUAAGCACCUGAAGGAGCAAAUAAAGAUGAAGCCAAAUAGAUGGAAAGAAACAUUUCAGUUGCCAGAUCCAAGUGUUUUAGCCGGGUCCAAAGAAGACGUGUCAGGACGAUACUGUCCAAAAUGGAACAAAAUUGCUGAUAGUUCAGUGCUCACUGUCUCCAGCAAGAACUGCCAGUCUUCAGACAACCACGAAGCUGAAACUACCAGAGUUGCUAGCAAUAAAUACACUGCAAAACAACAAGGAGGAAUCCGUUUAAGAAAAACACAGGGCGCUAACCCUUUCUGUGCACAGCUUGGUGUGACCCUAGCUAUUCGACCAAGUCACGCCCCCAAACAGAAGUUGGACCCAAGUCUGCUCAUCAAUGGUGUGAUGAUAGAGAUGCUUGAUUUUUCCCGAGUGCUGUGUGGAAAACACACUUACAUAGUUUAUGAACUGGUCAAGCACAACUUUGGUUAUGCUUUUAAUAAACCUCAGUUCCGAAUGUGUCUAAAUAGGGUGAUAGAGAGAAAAUACACCUGUCUGACAGCUGAGGACAAAGACACUUUCAGAAAGGAACUUUUUAAGAUCCCGGCUGAGAAGAAUAAAUUGGAAUAUAAAGGUAAAAAAAGAAAAACACCUGAUGCAGAUAACCAAGAACUGGAAGCACAAAUUCUGGCCACCAAUAAAAGACAAACACGGAAGCAGCAGGCUAGCAAAAUGGAGGAGUUGAAGGAGGAUGAUUUGUCAUACAUGUGUCCUGUUGAGUUUGAGACAGAAUUCCAGUCAGGAACAGAACCUGAACCAGAAAAUGUGAAACCUGAAAGUUGUUUGUCAGGAACAGAGGUAGAAAUGAACAUGCUACAGGAUGUAAAGCCAGAAGAGGAAGAAGUCUUCAUCUCACCAAUGCAGCCUUUGAAUAAUGGCCACAAAUCUUCUUUGUCACCCACACAGGCAAAGGAUGCAAGUCAGGAAUCAUACUGGUGUCUGUUCUCUGAGGGAAGAUGUGCAGAAACCUCAAAGCAGAGGCUGUGGCUGAGGCGCGCUGCUCGCACAAAACAGAUCCUGACAUCGAGCCGAGUGAAUGACAUGUUCGCCCAUUGCAGAGAGAUCGGAUUAGACUUCAACUUUUGUUCACCAAAACGGAGCUUAGAUCUACAACUGUUGAGCAACUGGGUGAUGUGGGAGGUUUUCAAGUUUGGAACUGCUUUGUUGAGGAGUGUACGCAGUUUUUUAUUUGAAAUUCUCUUAAACAACUUUACUCUUACGCUCCAAGAUGAGCAACAUGAGCGCAAUUUCUUAGUUUACAUGAUGGCAAAACAUAAAAAUCUUGUGAGCCACCCAAAGAGUCAGAAUAUGGAUUUUCUCUGCAAGCCUUUCAAACUUCCUGAGAUUUACCACAUGGUUGAUGUGACCAGCAAUUUUCAGACUCAACAGGAACUCCAGAGUCAAGGGCAGGAAGGGUUAGAUUCAUCAGAUUCAGCAAAGAGUGAAGAAGCUGAAAAAGAAAAACACCCUUUCUGUAAAAAGUUGGGUCUAAACCUUUGGUCAACCAAAGAACGCCCAUCAGACCAGAAGCUUGAUUUGACCGUCCUGACAACCGGCGCUGUGCUUGAGAUCUUCAGCUUUGUAAAGGAGCUGUGUGGUGAGGCCCGCAAUACUGUUAAUGACAUUCUUGAGCACAAUUUUGAUCUUGAUCUUCAAAGUGGUGAGACUGAGGCUGCGCAGAAGAUCCAGAGAUGGUACACAACACAGAAAAGCUUGAUGAAAAAGCAAAACAUGUCACCGAAAAUCAACAGGUGGUUAAAUAUGAUCGUCCCGCUGAAUGGCAACUUGCAAGAGAUUCCACACUCACCAACUGAAGAUGGGGACCCAGAUCUAGAAGGGGAGCUGGAUGGCUUUGGUGGAUUUGUCAAAUGCUUUGACUACCAGAACUGCAAGGAGAUCGGACUGGACCUCGACCCCAGCUCCAAAUCAGAAACCAAAACAAAACUUGAUUUGCAAGUUCUGACAAGAGGAGUUUUGUUUGAGGUGCACCAAUAUGUGCAGCAAAACUACAACCGAUAUGUUCCUGCUCUGUAUGAGAUUCUGGAGUACAACUUUGAUCUGAGCUCUCAGAGCCACCGGAAGGUGGAGUUCGCCUGGUCCAUCGCCUCACAGGUCAUAGCCAUGACUGGCAAAAAACGCAGAAAAGGGGAUUACCUGAACAAAGUUUUUGAGCUCCCUUUCGAGGUCUCCAAGUUCCCUGAGUCUUCCCAGGUGGUCUUUAAAGAGGAGCCGGAGGAUGACUUUGGCGAGCCGGACCUUAAUAAUGACAAUGAUGACAUUGUGUUUGUCCGAAAACUGAAGCCUGUUGAUAUGGAAGUCGAGAUAGAAUAAAGUCCUAGCUGCUGUUUGUAUUUUAAAUGUCAGUUUUCAGGAUAGAGCUGCAACUGAAUCGCUUUAUAUCUACUUAAACCAGUUAAAUUUACCUUUACCCAUUUAUAUAGAAAUGGGGAUCCUCUUCCUGUUUCUGUUCAGCGUGUGCCUAAAAUCCAGCUUGACCUUAACCCUGGUGGACAUAAAGAAGAUGAGAGUGAUCGAUUUUUGUUUUGGUCUAUAAAGUGUCAAAAAACAACUCUCGUAAUCUUUUUUUUUUUCUUUUUUAACUGUUGACAUCUUGGAUUACUUGUGUUCUAGCAAAUGUCUUUUAACUCAAAGAAGAAAUACUCGCAUUCAAUCAUGAAGGCCAAAUAAAUAUCUCAGAUGUGCUGCAGAUGUUUACAGGGGGCAGGAAAAAUAAAGAUUAAACUUUGUUCUCAAGUUAGUGAAUGUUAUUGCCCACCAGAUCCAGCUGUGUCUCUGGAAGUGGGGUCUUUGCAGUCUCGAUUACAACGAAAGACAAUAAAGGUUCUAAAAUGUGAACGACGUGUUACUGCUGGGCCUCCUCGACUCCACUGUGGUUCAGUGCUGCUUUAUUCACAGUAGAGUUCUUUUGCUUAUAAUUAUGUGUGUUACGACUGGAGUGUAACAAAAAAGUUGUGCCACUUUUUUUCUCCAAACAAGGAAGUAGACUAUCCACGUUAAUGUUAACCGGUAGAAAUUCAACCCUCAGUGAUGUGAGUUAAAGAGGACAGAAUGAAUGGUCAAGGCUGCCAUAUUGGUAUUUAAUUGUUUUGACUGAUUCGUGAUGUCAACUCCAUCAUUUAAUAAAAUGUGAAAGAAAACAUUCCACCUUAAAAUUUGGUCAGUGUUCAUAAUUAUUUGUCUCUUGACUUUAUGUUAAUAGUAAAGAUCAAAAGUCGGUGAAAUAUCUUGUUCUUGUAAAAGUUUACAUAAAGUAGUGCAUACUGCUGUAGUUUAACAUUCAUGUUGCUCAUUUUCUUUAUUUACAUGAAAUAAAGAAAAUGAGUUUUGAGCUUUCGAGUCAUGACCAGGUAUUUUGGCAGAUGUUCCAGUUCAUAUUUAGUUUGUUUUUAUAUGUGAAGGAAAAUCAGAAGUCAUAAUUUUUAAAGACUUUUCUUGGCAAACCAAAUUUAUACAAAGAUUCACUGUUUUCUAGCUUCUGAAAUUCUCUGUAUGCUAAAUAUUGGUUGGUUAGUCUGGUCAGUCCUUAAAAAGUUAGUGGACAAGCAGAAGCUGGGAUCUGGGAGGUUAUCCUAAUAUUGAUGUAAAAACAAUAAGGAAAUGAAUAAAUGUAGUUUGAAGUGACUUUUUAAAAUCAGGCUGCAGAUGAUCUGAUUGUAUUCUGGUGAUAUUUUAUGUUAAAUGAUGUUUGAAGAUUCAGAGUCUGA
ensembl:lncRNA